AAUGAUGAGUUCGUGUCCUUCACAGGAACAUGGAUGAAUCUGGUAACCAUCAUUCUCAGCAAACUGACACAAGAACAGAAAACCAAACACUGGAUAUUAUCACUCAUAUACGGGUGUUAACCAAUUAGAACAUGGGGGCAAAGGGAGGGGAGCAUCACACACUAGGGUCAGUGGCAGUGGCUAGGGGAGGGACAGUGGGAGGUGGGGUGGGAUAAUGAGGGGAGAAACCCCAGAUAUAGGGUGAUGGGGGGAUGAAGUCAGCAAACCACCUUGCCAUGUAUGUAACUAUGCAACAAUCCUGCAUGAUCUUCACAUGUGCCCCAGAACCUAAGUACAAUGAAAAAAAAAAGAAAUUAAAUUUAUUGCUAAAACUCCUCCCCCCACAAAAAAAAAAAAGAAUUUGGAUUUGGACAUUUGGGUUAGUGGAAUGUUAGAAAGGCAUGAUUGUGUUUUGAAAUGUGAGGCCAUAAGACUUGGGAUGAGCCAAGGGCAGAAUGAUGUGGUUUGACUGAAUCCCCACCCAAAUAUUAUCUUGAAUUAUAGUUCCCAUAAUCUUCACAUGUUGUGGGAGGGACCUAGUGUAAGGUAAUUCAAUCACAGGGGUGGUUACCUCCAUGAUGUUCUUGUGAUACUGAGUGAGUUCUCAAAAGGUCUAAUGGUUUUAUAAGGGCUUUUCUUCUUUUGCUCAGCACUUCUUUCCUGAUGCCAUGUGAAGAAGGUUGUGUUUGCUUCCCCUUCUGCCAUGAAUGUAUGUUAUCUGAGGCUUCCCCAGCUUUGUGGAACUUUGUUAUCUUCAUCUGCAUGCUUGAAGCUGGGUCAAGAAAUGUCCCUCUGAAGUAUGGGAAGUAUCCCCACACCACUAGCAGAAACCUACAAACAACAUUAACCAAGUGGUCGAAAAUAACGAGACGAUUGUUAUAUUUAUAAUAUGAAAGAUGACAACUUCUAUCUGAAGUAUGAGUCUAAUUAGCAAGUUAUACAUUAAUACAAAAAUACAAUUCUAUAAUUCUGUAUAAAAAUAAA
rnacentral:lncRNA from 1 species